UUAGAACCAGAACCCGGAGCAACCCAUCUGCCAUCCAGAGAGAGGCACACCGAGAGCAGGCUGAACAGGCUGAGCAGGCAGAAAGCAGGAGAGUUUCUGCCGAAAACAAGCACCGAGACCCGAGGAGACAUGACAGCUGCUGCUCGCUAACAGAACGGAAGGUAGCGACAACUUUAACCCAGGCUCAGUUAAGCACUGUCUGCAGCACAUCUGGCAGAGGACACAUUACAGCUGAGCAGACGGCGGUGUGGACUUGGAGUCAAGCGGUGUCUUCACACCCCAAACAUCCAUUAUCGGUCGGGCUCUGAUCAAGAUACAGCAGGGGAGGGAGGGAUGAGGACAGGGAAUGAGUUGAGAGGAAGAAAGAUGGAGAGAGAAGAGCAACGAGCAGAAAGACAAGUCGAGCAGCAAAGAGAGUCUGCAGCAGAUCUGAGCCAGAGACAGCAGACGGGAGGAAAGGCUUCAAUAGAGAAAAAGAAAGAUUAAGAUAUUUUAGUGAAACUAUGAAUCUUUCGUUGAGGAAUAACAGAGAUGAAGAGGAACUAUACAGACAUCUGCUCUAACUGCAUACAGCACAUCUUAAUAUACAAUCGUCUCUCUGCCUCCUUCAUUCGGCUUUCAUUACUUCAUCUGUCCACCUAGUGAUGAGGCAAUCCUCUCUCUCAUUGUCUCGCUGUCUUCCAGCCGACUGAUGUUACAAUAAACUGCAGCAGAUGCAGUGGACUCCAAAUCCCAUACAAAGUGAAAGAGAUGGCACUUUUUGUAUGAUACACUCACUUUAGCUGCUUAAUAAAGUGAAAUGACAUUAGAGUUACAAUGAUUAGUCGAUUAACGGUAAAUUAAUAAACAACUACUACUCAUCUCAGUUAUUUAUUGAGCAAAACACCAAACAUUUGUUGUUUUUUCAGCUUCUCAAUUAUAAGAUUUUGAUGCUUUUCUGUGUCAUAUGUGACAGUAAACUGAAUAUUUGUUGAUUUUGGACUGUUCUUGCAUAAACAAGAAAUUUGAAUAAUCACUUUGGGCUGUGAGAAAUUAAAGACAAGCAGUUUUCACAAUUUUCAGACAUCAUAUAUACACAGCAAUUAAUGGUUUAAUUGAGAAAAUAAUUUGAUUCAUUGAUAACAAUCAGCUUGUUCCAGCCCUUUAUUGAAGCCAUAUAAUGUUUGAAAUUAAGUAAAAUUAACUAUUGAAAUAAGACU